GAUGAACGCCGGCGGUGUGCCUAAUACAUGCAAGUCGUACGCACUGGCCCAGCUGAUUGAUGGUGCUUGCACCUGAUUGACGAUGGAUUACCAGUGAGUGGCGGACGGGUGAGUAACACGUAGGUAACCUGCCCCGGAGCGGGGGAUAACAUUUGGAAACAGAUGCUAAUACCGCAUAACAACAAAAGCCACAUGGCUUUUGUUUGAAAGAUGGCUUUGGCUAUCACUCUGGGAUGGACCUGCGGUGCAUUAGCUAGUUGGUAAGGUAACGGCUUACCAAGGCGAUGAUGCAUAGCCGAGUUGAGAGACUGAUCGGCCACAAUGGAACUGAGACACGGUCCAUACUCCUACGGGAGGCAGCAGUAGGGAAUCUUCCACAAUGGGCGCAAGCCUGAUGGAGCAACACCGCGUGAGUGAAGAAGGGUUUCGGCUCGUAAAACUCUGUUGUUGGAGAAGAACGUGCGUGAGAGUAACUGUUCACGCAGUGACGGUAUCCAACCAGAAAGUCACGGCUAACUACGUGCCAGCAGCCGCGGUAAUACGUAGGUGGCAAGCGUUAUCCGGAUUUAUUGGGCGUAAAGCGAGCGCAGGCGGUUGCUUAGGUCUGAUGUGAAAGCCUUCGGCUUAACCGAAGAAGUGCAUCGGAAACCGGGCGACUUGAGUGCAGAAGAGGACAGUGGAACUCCAUGUGUAGCGGUGGAAUGCGUAGAUAUAUGGAAGAACACCAGUGGCGAAGGCGGCUGUCUGGUCUGCAACUGACGCUGAGGCUCGAAAGCAUGGGUAGCGAACAGGAUUAGAUACCCUGGUAGUCCAUGCCGUAAACGAUGAGUGCUAGGUGUUGGAGGGUUUCCGCCCUUCAGUGCCGGAGCUAACGCAUUAAGCACUCCGCCUGGGGAGUACGACCGCAAGGUUGAAACUCAAAGGAAUUGACGGGGGCCCGCACAAGCGGUGGAGCAUGUGGUUUAAUUCGAAGCUACGCGAAGAACCUUACCAGGUCUUGACAUCUUGCGCUAACCUUAGAGAUAAGGCGUUCCCUUCGGGGACGCAAUGACAGGUGGUGCAUGGUCGUCGUCAGCUCGUGUCGUGAGAUGUUGGGUUAAGUCCCGCAACGAGCGCAACCCUUGUUACUAGUUGCCAGCAUUAAGUUGGGCACUCUAGUGAGACUGCCGGUGACAAACCGGAGGAAGGUGGGGACGACGUCAGAUCAUCAUGCCCCUUAUGACCUGGGCUACACACGUGCUACAAUGGACGGUACAACGAGUCGCAAGCUCGCGAGAGUAAGCUAAUCUCUUAAAGCCGUUCUCAGUUCGGACUGUAGGCUGCAACUCGCCUACACGAAGUCGGAAUCGCUAGUAAUCGCGGAUCAGCAUGCCGCGGUGAAUACGUUCCCGGGCCUUGUACACACCGCCCGUCACACCAUGGGAGUUUGUAACGCCCAAAGUCGGUGGCCUAACCUUUAUGGAGGGAGCCGCCUAAGGCGGGACAGAUGACUGGGGUG
rnacentral:rRNA from 2 species